rnacentral:rRNA from 1 species
UAGGGAAUCUUCCGCAAUGGACGCAAGUCUGACGGAGCAACGCCGCGUGAGUGAAGAAGGAUUUCGGUUCGUAAAACUCUGUUGUUAGAGAAGAACAGCGCAUAGAGUAACUGUUAUGCGUGUGACGGUAUCUAACCAGAAAGCCACGGCUAACUACGUGCCAGCAGCCGCGGUAAUACGUAGGUGGCAAGCGUUGUCCGGAUUUAUUGGGCGUAAAGCGAGCGGAGGCGGUCAAUUAAGUCUGAUGUGAAAGCCCCCGGCUCAACCGGGGAGGGUCAUUGGAAACUGGUUGACUGGAGGGCAGAAGAGGAGAGUGGAAGUCCAUGUGUAGCGGUGAAAUGCGUAGAUAUAUGGAGGAACACCAGUGGCGAAGGCGACUCUCUGGUCUGUAACUGACGCUGAGGCUCGAAAGCGUGGGUAGCAAACAGG